rnacentral:tRNA from 1 species
GCGGGUGUGGUAUAGUGGCAUUAUAUCUGCCUUCCAAGCAGAAGACGGGAGUUCGAUUCUCCUCACCCGCU